rnacentral:tRNA from 1 species
GCGUUCUUAGUUUAGUUUGAUAGAACAUGAAUCUUCAGAACUCGAUGUUAUAAGUUCAAAUUUUAUAAAAUGUG